rnacentral:rRNA from 1 species
AUUGAACGCUAGCGGCCGGCCUAACACAUGCAAGUCGAACGAGUGGCGGACGGGUGGGUAAUGUCUGGGAAACUGCCCUAUGGAGGGGGAUAACUACUGGAAACAGUAGCUAAUACCGCAUACCAUCGGAUGUGCCCCGAUGGGAUUAGCUAGGAGGGGGGUGAACGGCUCACCUAGGCGACGAGCCCUAGCUGGUCUGAGAGGAUGACCAGCCAAACGGGAACUGAGACACGGUCCAGACGCCUACGGGAGGCAGCAGUGGGGAAUAUUGCACAAUGGGCGCAAGCCUGAUGCAGCCAUGCCGCGUGUAUGAAGAAGGCCUUCGGGUUGUAAAGUACUUUCAGCGAGGAGGCGUUACUCGCAGAAGAAGCACCGGCUAACUCCGUGCCAGCCGCCGCGGUAAUAC